UACGUAGGGUGCAAGCGUUAAUCGGAAUUACUGGGCGUAAAGCGUGCGUAGGUGGUUCGUUAAGUCUGAUGUGAAAGCCCUGGGCUCAACCUGGGAAUGGCAUUGGAUACUGGCGACCUAGAGUGCGGUAGAGGGUAGCGGAAUUCCCGGUGUAGCAGUGAAAUGCGUAGAUAUCGGGAGGAACAUCCGUGGCGAAGGCGGCUACCUGGACCAGCACUGACACUGAGGCACGAAAGCGUGGGGAGCAAACAGG
rnacentral:rRNA from 1 species